GCCUUGUAACACUUCAAAUCAUGUUUUAAAGCGUAUGGCAAACAGUGUACUCCAAAAUAUCUCAAAGGUGCUCUCAAUUCAAAACGACCUCUUGGAUGCCUAACUGGAAUUGCAAAUAACUGUUGGGUGUUGAUUUCUCACAGAAAUAAGAUUAAUCACUUGACUCAAACUUGUAGCAUUCAGCAUACCAACAUAGGGCAGCUUUGAGUUCCCAGAAUUAGACAAGAACCUUACAGCCCUUACUCCCCUACUCAGCUCUAUAUGCAUAUUAUUAGCAAUAGUCUAUUAAAAAAAAUGAGAAAAAAAAUUUCCCCAAACAAUAAACAUCCUGAAGUUUGAGUGAACUGCCACACACAAGAUAUUAUUACAGCUUUGGCAAGUGAGUUCAGGACUAAGAGAAAAGACACAGGCUCCCCAGGUCUGACUGAACUCUGCAGACAGGACCUGGAGCAGCAGUUGCAUUGUAUCCCUGGAUCAGAGUCACCAAACAAGAAGCAUACUUAGCCCUGCAUCUGCUAAGACCAACUCCCAGUUGUCAAGUGCUCUGCAAGGUGCAGAAAAUGACCAUC
rnacentral:lncRNA from 1 species